rnacentral:misc_RNA from 1 species
UACGUAGGGCGCGAGCGUUGUCCGGAAUUAUUGGGCGUAAAGAGCUCGUAGGCGGCUGGUUGCGUCUGCUGUGAAAUCCCGGGGCUUAACCCCGGGCGUGCAGUGGAUACGGGCCGGCUGGAGGCAGGCAGGGGAGAAUGGAAUUCCCGGUGUAGCGGUGAAAUGCGCAGAUAUCGGGAGGAACACCGGUGGCGAAGGUGGUCCUCUGGGCCUGUACUGACGCUGAGGAGCGAAAGCGUGGGGAGCAAACAGG